AUCAAAAGAGCAUUCAUACCAAUUUUGACUAGUUUGCAUAAAAUCUGAAUUAUGAGAAUAUCAGAAGAACAUUUUAAUUAACUUUCUUAAACAUUUAAGCUGACCGAUUUUCCUUGUAAUUUUGUUUGUGUUGAGUAUGAAAGUAUUGUUGUAUUAAUCCUGCAUUCUUUAGUGAGAGUUAGUUUAAGAAUGAACAUUUACCUCUCACACCAAACGUAUUUGUAAUCUCCAAUGUUUUUUAUUUUAUUUUAUUUUUUUAUUUUUAUUUGUGCAUGCAUUUAUCUUCUUAUCUACUUUAUAUUACUAAUUUGCGUGAAAUUUUAUUUAGUCUAUUGAUGUUAGCAUACUGUCAUAUUGCUUAUAAUCAAUUUGCUAUUUAAUGUAUUGGGGGAAAACUAUUGGUAUCAGUUAUGGUGGUCCAAUCUACUGAUCCUCCCCUCCAUACACAUAAGAUAAGUUGAUAACUAAAUUGAUUAAUUUCACAUUAUAUUUGUCAUCAUAAGAAAUCUAGCAAGGAUACGGGUCAAAUUUUAUUAGAUGUUUUUUUCCAAAAAGUUUUUUAAUAAAAUAAGAAUAGAUAAACUAAAAUACCAUUUUGCCCUUAAUAAUCAAGUGAAAAGGAAUGGUCAUGGUCCUAUCUAAUUGAUGUAUAUAUGCUUGUCGGCUAACUAGUGCUACAAUAAAAAUAUUCGAAAUAAAUAAUAUAUAAUAUUUUUGUAAUAUAUAUAUAUAUAGAUAUUGUGAAUCAAAUAAAGAAGAGAGCAGGUGGCUGCCAGCCGAGGGAGGGGAGAAGAAGGAAAAAGAAAGAAAAGAAAAAGAGAAAAAGAAAAGGAAAGAAGGAAAAGUAAGUGGAUGGCCCCACAAGAGGAUUUUACAUUUUGGACAAACUACAAUGACCUUCCCUGAUGUUUGACUUAAUUGUAACUAAACCUGAAUUUUAUCAUUUUUUUGCAACAAGUCCCGUUGAGGUUUGCAAUUUUUUGCAAAGACCUCCCCUUUGUACAAAAUUUCAUAAUUUUUGUUAGAAAAUUUGGUUAAAGUGACUAAAAUGCCCAUCAACUAGGUGUAAAAGACCAUAUUACCCUUAUAAUAUAUGGAAUAACAAAAAAAAAAAAUCAUGCUUAAAAACAAGAGCAACCACCACUCCACCGGUAGCCGUCGUCGCUGCCAAACAAACCCACAGAGAAACUAAACCCACAAUUAGAUACCCCAUAUCUCAUGGUAGCCAUUCCUUCACAAUACAAUGCACAAAAUGUCAAUACAAAACCAAACCCCAGAAAAAAACAUAAUAGCGUAUCUUUGUGUAAUGAUAUGCUCAUGAGACUACCUCUCAAAUGGUCAAACUGUCAACCAGCCUACAAACAGCAAACUAGUGUUCUUUCCUCUCUAACUUUUUCUCAUUAGCUGGCAUAUAUGUAUAUACAUUUAUAUUCAAUAUUGUAUCAAUGUAAUGAUAUAUUGCAUUAAUUUUAGGGUUUGAUUUUGAUUAAUUUUGAAAACAAAUGUUGAUUUUGUACAUAUCAAUCAAUAUGGAUGGAUUUGAGGUUUGAUUGAUCAAUCUUGGAGUUUUAGCUUGAUUUUUCCAGUGAACCACCAAGCACCCACCCACCCACCCACCCACCCAUCUUUAAUUCUCUCUGAAUCUUGUUCCAGUUCCGGCGAAGAAAAGCCCCAAAUCGAGACUUCUUCUUCAUGGGUUUGCAUAUACGACCAUGGGCAACAGCACCACCAUCACAACCACGCGCAGCCGCCGACAGAACCAUUACUCUCAGGGAAAUCCGCGUCGUGUCCCUCUCUCCAUCACCGUCCCUAACAACAUCUCACACGACUACAUGCACUUUGAGUCUCGAAACAGAUGGCGCGUCCCUCUCUCCAUCACCGUCCCUGCCCAGACUCACGCGACCACACCCACGCAAUCGGACCCAACCAGUGCUGCUCCGCCGUCAUCCAGACCAUCGCCGCCCAAUUCCGCCGUCUAGUCCAUCGUUCGCUGCUUCCACAACCUCUUGACCUGCAAGCCCUUCCUCAACGAGAAUUCCAGCAACAUGAAGACAAACCGAGAGCCUGAGAGCAUCAACAAGAAGAAAUUCGGUGAAGAGCCCUAAAAAUUCAGUAACGUGAAAACUGGUGGCGAAGGAGAGGAGAGAGGAAUAAUGGGAUACGGAAAGGAAGUGGCGGACGACGCUCCUCCACAGAUUUUGAUAGGAAAGGACGAUAACGUCUUUAGUUGACCUCGGGUUUGGGUAAAGACUUGAUUAGUGAUUUGGACCAUCGGGUUCGGGUCGUUACAAUUUUUGCACUAGAUAAGAUUUAAUUAAUGUAUGCAAGCAUACUUUUUUGUAAUAUUUAUGUUAAUAAUUAGGUAAAGAAUGUGUGAGGUAAAUAAUAUAUAUAUAUAUAUAGUUUGGUUGAUAAAGAAUGAAGUAAGGAGUAAAGAGGUUAGUUUGGUCCAAUAAAAUGAUUUGUAGAGGGUAGAAAGGUUAUUCCAUGAUUUAAAUAAGUUAACUAACAAAUUAAAGGGUAAUAAAAAAAAAUUAUAGGAAUUUUAGGCUUGCUUAUUUGCAUAAUGUAAAUUUUUUUUUUUAUAUUACUACACAUACAAAAUGUAAUUUUUUUUUUUCCUAUAUGUUUAUUAAUUUUUUUUAACAUAUAGUUAUUUAUACGUAGUAAUUUUAAUAGGUUCAAGAAUGUGGUUGUCCUGAUAGUAGUGUAUAUGUAUGAUUUUUUUUUUUUUUUAAAUUAUCAGUCAGUAUAUUAAAUAAUUAUUUUAUACUUAUCAAAAAAAAAAAAAAAAAUGUAUGAUUUUUUUUGAAAUUGCAUUUGUAUUCAUUUGUUUCUCUAUGACAUUGUAAGAAAAGCUAAGGGGUCGAGUUUACUACAAUUACUUGAAAUGCAUUUGGAUAACAUCCUUGAGACUCAGUUGAAUUUAGUUAAAUGAUAUAGAGACGAUAUUGGCACUUCCCUUCUCAACUAUUGCACUUCACACUUUUCCCUUCUUUUUUUUUUUUUUUUAAAUGAUAAAAAGUCUAUUAAACUCUCCCAAAAAUAUGUCUACGGCAUCACACCCAGAUGAGCCAGAUUCCCCGUACCAAACACGA